rnacentral:tRNA from 1 species
GCCGUUUUCUUUUGGUUCAAUGAUAGAAUGCUCGCCUGCCACGCGGGCGGUCCCGGGUUCGAUUCCCGGCCGAUGCA